UUUCAGAUCGGCCACCAAGGUUUUCAACCUUUCCUUUUACCACUCCUGUCCAGCCUUCUAGAAUUUUCCCCUCAAUUUGAAAAGACCUAGGCAUAGGAGAGUCGUCAUCGUCAGCAGGGAAGAUUUUACAGAACCAGCAAUCGGAACUUUGCCUUCAAUUACAAAACCACAGUCACCGGAAUGAUUGUGGGUUUUCACGCUGGUCCUUGGUGGUGCUGAGCAGGGUUUGUGUGGUACGCGAGUAGAGAGUGGCGAGCAGGGUUUGUGAUGUCCUCUUCCAUAACCAGCCGGAUCGGUGACCGGUGACGGCAACACGCAGAUGCUAGGGUUUCUAAGAUUCCGAGAAGCAAAGCCGACCUUCUAUUGCUUAGAGUUUAUCCAUAGAAGAAAAAGGAACAACAAAAAGCUUGGAAACUAAGCUCAAGAAAGAUAACAAUGGCGUCUAGAAGUGUAACAUGGGAAACACUACUCCCGCCGCGUAGCGCGG
rnacentral:lncRNA from 1 species